UAAGUGAAUAGUGAAAUCUGGGUGGCUCAACCAUACAGGCUAUUAUUCAAACUGGCAAACUCGAGAGCGGGUAGAGGUCACUGGAAUUUCUUGUGUAGGAGUGAAAUCCGUAGAUAUAAGAAGGAACACCGAUGGCGUGGGCAGGUGACUGGACCAUUUCUGACGCUAAGGCACGAAAGCGUGGGGAGCGAACCGGAUUAGAUACCCGGGUAGUCCACGCCGUAAACGAUGGAUACUGG
rnacentral:rRNA from 1 species